AGGAGGAAAGCUUUUUUUCUUCUUGAGAGGAGUGACAGGGAGAGCUACUAUGAGACUGUAAAAAUCAGGACUACUGUUUCAUCUCUCCUGCGGUGUCUGGUCUGUGAUUUAAGAGAAGAGUGGUCCUGUUCUGCAGCUGAAUUUCCUUGGCUUAGAAAGCGGAAAGGAAGAAUGUGUCUCCUGUAGCUAGAGGUGAGUUUAAUGCUACCAGUCUGCUACGUUCAUUUGUAUGCUGGAGCAGUGCUGACAAGCCUCCUGUUGUUCCCUGCACAAUUUGUGUCAGCCAACCAGGUAGAUGAGAAAAGAAGACUACUGGAGAAAAAUGUCCAUGAUUGUGUCUGUCCCAGAGGACCUCAAAGGAGAAAGUGUCUUUCCCAGAAUGGAACAGAAAAUGUGAAGCAGCACAUAAGUUUGAAGCCAGGUCUCCUGGCCACGGAUAAGCCAUGAAGUGAAUGACUAGCAAAGACUGUCUUUCCAGCAUACCACAGGAGAGCAACCCAGUGGGUGUUCUGAGGUGUCAUCCUGGUGGAAGGGAAAGUAACUGCAAAGAAACAAAGGGCUACUGAUGGAGUCCCAGAGGAGUGAAUUUCAGCUCUGCAGUCUCAGGAGUUGGGCUUCCAGCUGGCUAUUUGCAGAGACCAAGCAUGCUGAAAAUGAAAGGCAGCGUGUAACCUUCUGAAGUCGCUAAUUGUGGUACUGCAGACAUCUGUUCUACAUGGCUCUCUACCUUGGCUGCUGUUCAAUUUCCACUGACUUCCAUGAACUCCAUUGUGAAACCCAUGUGCAAUCUUCUCUUUGCACCGAGACCAGCCUGUCACUCCUGAAUGGAGACCUGCAGCUUAUGGAUCCCCUCAGCCACCUCUUCCAAAGCAUGUGGCUAUGGGGAGCCACCACUUUGAGGGAAGUACAGCUUAUCCUCCACAUUGUCCCUCCCUUGCUGCUUGAAGCUGCACUGUAGUAGUUUAAAAAUACAGACAGCUGAGACAAAGACUUUCAUCAGCUCUAAAAGCAGGACAAGACUGACACUGACCCUGACUGAUGAGGUCUUUGCCAGUUGCUAAAUGGCUAAAAUGAUCCAUGGUGGUCACAGGGGAGGAGGUCAGGACUGAAACAAGAACUUGACAUCUGAAAUUUGCCAGUCCUGUUUGUGAAGCAGCUGGGCUACAGGCAGGAGCUCCUGUCUGAGCAUGCCUGUUGGAUCCUCCGCAGCAAUCCUGUCUGGCCUGACAGUUGUAAUAAUAAAUGCCGUAACUGGGCUGACAUUUUGGGCUGGCAGGGUCUUUCACAAGUCUCAGCUGGGAGUGAUUGUUUUAAUGAAUAAUGUUAAUAGAUGAAUAGUUUGCCGGUGAGAUUUUACUUUUAGCAUAGAAGGCACUGAGUUGUUUUUAGCAAUGGUUGUAUUCUUUUAAUAGCAUAUGUGGAGCUUUCUGGGGGAUGUGGCAGUGCUCCUCACAUAAAGAGUGAGGGCAGGGCUCUGAGAAAUGUGUGGUGUCCUUCUCACUUGCAUCAUUCUAUGUGACUGUGCAAGGUG